rnacentral:tRNA from 1 species
CGGGGUGUAGCGCAGUUGGUAGCGCGCCUGCUUUGGGAGCAGGAUGUCGGGGGUUCAAAUCCCUUCACUCCGACCA